AUACGGAGGGUGCAAGCGUUAUCCGGAUUCACUGGGUUUAAAGGGUGCGUAGGUGGGCAGUUAAGUCAGUGGUGAAAUCUCCGGGCUUAACCCGGAAACUGCCAUUGAUACUAUCUGUCUUGAAUACUCUGGAGGUAAGCGGAAUAUGUCAUGUAGCGGUGAAAUGCUUAGAUAUGACAUAGAACACCAAUUGCGAAGGCAGCUUACUACGGAGUCAUUGACACUGAGGCACGAAAGCGUGGGGAUCAAACAGGAUUAGAUACCCUGGUAGUCCACGCCCUAAACGAUGGAUACUCGACAUUUGCGAUACACAGUAAGUGUCUGAGCGAAAGCAUUAAGUAUCCCACCUGGGAAGUACGACCGCAAGGUUGAA
rnacentral:rRNA from 1 species